CCUACGGGAGGCAGCAGUGGGGAAUAUUGGACAAUGGGGGCAACCCUGAUCCAGCCAUGCCGCGUGUGUGAAGAAGGCCCUCGGGUUGUAAAGCACUUUCAGUGAGGAAGAACGCCUGGUGGUUAAUACCCAUCAGGAAAGACAUCACUCACAGAAGAAGCACCGGCUAACUCCGUGCCAGCAGCCGCGGUAAUACGGAGGGUGCGAGCGUUAAUCGGAAUUACUGGGCGUAAAGCGCGCGUAGGUGGCUUGAUAAGCCGGUUGUGAAAGCCCCGGGCUCAACCUGGGAACGGCAUCCGGAACUGUCAAGCUAGAGUGCAGGAGAGGAAGGUAGAAUUCCCGGUGUAGCGGUGAAAUGCGUAGAGAUCGGGAGGAAUACCAGUGGCGAAGGCGGCCUUCUGGACUGAGACUGACACUGAGGUGCGAAAGCGUGGGUAGCAAACAGGAUUAGAUACCCCGGUAGUC
rnacentral:rRNA from 1 species